rnacentral:rRNA from 1 species
GAUGAACGCUGGCGGCGUGCCUAAUACAUGCAAGUCGAGCGAACAGAUGAGGAGCUUGCUCCUCUGACGUUAGCGGCGGACGGGUGAGUAACACGUGGAUAACCUACCUAUAAGACUGGGAUAACUUCGGGAAACCGGAGCUAAUACCGGAUAAUAUAUUGAACCGCAUGGUUCAAUAGUGAAAGACGGUUUUGCUGUCACUUAUAGAUGGAUCCGCGCCGCAUUAGCUAGUUGGUAGGGUAACGGCUUACCAAGGCAACGAUGCGUAGCCGACCUGAGAGGGUGAUCGGCCACACUGGAACUGAGACACGGUCCAGACUCCUACGGGAGGCAGCAGUAGGGAACCUUCCGCAAUGGGCGAAAGCCUGACGGAGCAACGCCGCGUGAGUGAUGAAGGUCUUCGGAUCGUAAAACUCUGUUAUUAGGGAAGAACAAAUGUGUAAGUAACUAUGCACGUCUUGACGGUACCUAAUCAGAAAGCCACGGCUAACUACGUG